rnacentral:misc_RNA from 1 species
UACAUAGGCUCCAAGCGUUGUUCGGAAUUAUUGGGCGUAAAGGGCGCGCAGGCGGCCUGGCAAGUCUCGGGUGAAAUCCCUCGGCUCAACCGAGGAAUUGCCCUGGAUACUGUCGGGCUCGAGGCCGGGAGGGGGUAGCGGAAUUCCCAGUGUAGCGGUGAAAUGCGUAGAUAUUGGGAGGAACACCAGUGGCGAAGGCGGCUACCUGGACCGGUUCUGACGCUGAGGCGCGAAAUCGUGGGGAGCAAACAGG